rnacentral:misc_RNA from 1 species
UGAGAAAACAUGUGGGUACUAGAUGGGGAUCUAAAAUCAGAGUAAAAGCUGGGCUGCGAUGACAUUGGAGAGUCAUAAGAGCUAGAAGGGUAAUAGGAGGAAGAACAAGAUUGAGAAGGAGAAGUAGAGGGAGAUAGUGAAGAAUAAGAAGGGGACGUUAGAGUAGAGGUUGGUGAAGCACUUUUCAUAAAAGGCUCAAGUGC